rnacentral:rRNA from 1 species
CACGUAGGGUGCGAGCGUUGUCCGGAAUUAUUGGGCGUAAAGAGCUCGUAGGCGGUCCGUCACGUCGGAUGUGAAAUUCCAGGGCUCAACCCUGGACCUGCAUUCGAUACGGGCGGACUAGAGUUCGGUAGGGGAGACUGGAAUUCCUGGUGUAGCGGUGAAAUGCGCAGAUAUCGGGAGGAACACCGGUGGCGAAGGCGGGUCUCUGGGCCGAUACUGACGCUGAGGAGCGAAAGCGUGGGGAGCGAACAGG